GCCACCAUAGCUCAGAGGUAGAGCAACUGAUUCGUAAUCAGUUGGUCGUGGGUUCAAUUCCCGCUGGUGGCU
rnacentral:tRNA from 1 species